GCAAGUCGAGCGGAGUGAUGGUGCUUGCACUAUCACUUAGCGGCGGACGGCUUAGUAAUGCUUAGGAAUCUGCCUAUUAGUGGGGGACAACAUUUCGAAAGGAAUGCUAAUACCGCAUACGUCCUACGGGAGAAAGCAGGGGAUCUUCGGACCUUGCGCUAAUAGAUGAGCCUAAGUCGGAUUAGCUAGUUGGUGGGGUAAAGGCCUACCAAGGCGACGAUCUGUAGCGGGUCUGAGAGGAUGAUCCGCCACACUGGGACUGAGACACGGCCCAGACUCCUACGGGAGGCAGCAGUGGGGAAUAUUGGACAAUGGGCGCAAGCCUGAUCCAGCCAUGCCGCGUGUGUGAAGAAGGCCUUAUGGUUGUAAAGCACUUUAAGCGAGGAGGAGGCUACUGAAGUUAAUACCUUCAGAUAGUGGACGUUACUCGCAGAAUAAGCACCGGCUAACUCUGUGCCAGCAGCCGCGGUAAUACAGAGGGUGCAAGCGUUAAUCGGAUUUACUGGGCGUAAAGCGCGCGUAGGCGGCUAAUUAAGUCAAAUGUGAAAUCCCCGAGCUUAACUUGGGAAUUGCAUUCGAUACUGGUUAGCUAGAGUGUGGGAGAGGAUGGUAGAAUUCCAGGUGUAGCGGUGAAAUGCGUAGAGAUCUGGAGGAAUACCGAUGGCGAAGGCAGCCAUCUGGCCUAACACUGACGCUGAGGUGCGAAAGCAUGGGGAGCAAACAGG
rnacentral:rRNA from 1 species